GAUGAACGCUGGCGGCGUGCCUAAUACAUGCAAGUCGAGCGAAGCGGGGACGGGUGAGUAACACGUGGAUAACCUCCUAUAAGACUGGGAUAACUUCGGGAAACCGGAGCUCAACCGGAUACUUUUAGAUGUAUCCGCGCUGCAUUAGCUAGUUGGUGAGGUAACGGCGUACCACUGAAACGAUGCAUAGCCGACCUGAGAGGGUGAGCAGCAACACUGGAACUGAGACACGGUCCAGACUACUACGGGAGGCAGCAGUAGGGAAGCUUCCGCAAUGGGCGAAAGCCUGACAGAGCAACGCCGCGUGAGUGAUGAAGGUCUUCGGAUCGUAAAACUCUGUUAUUAGGGAAGCGGUACCUACUCAGAAAGCCACGGCUAACUACGUGCCAGCAGCCGCGGUAAUUC
rnacentral:rRNA from 1 species